rnacentral:rRNA from 1 species
AUGAAAUCGAAAAUAUUCUGAGAUGUCAAAUAUUCGGCGAUGACUAUGAAAACACCUCCCUGGAUCCUCGAAUUGAAAGAGAGAUUGAGAGGGAUCAAGAAACCUAAUUCUCGCUAUUUGGAAUGGAUCCAAUUCUAUUGA